AGCGCAUCCGCACAUCUGUUCCCAGAAGAGCUUCCAGUGCGCAGGGGGAGGAUCCAUUGGGUCAUUUUGGGCCACUUUUCGGAGGUUCAGGGGUCCAAGAAUGGAAUACUCUGGGAUACCCAUCAAUUCCUGGCCGACAAUAGCCAUCUGGAGAGCUCCAAUCAUCAAGUGGACUUACCUUCGCGGGUGCCGCGUUUGCGGCCCAAAGUGCUGAACUUGUCCCAGAAGCUGUCCUCCUUCUCGCCCUUUUUAAUGGCGGUGGGCGUGUGCGGGGAUUUAGGGCGGUUCAGUGUGGACAUGGUGCUGCUGGAUUCCAAGAAUUCCGGACUAAGUGAACAGUUUGUGUUAUUGUUUCGAUUCGUUUCGGGCGGAGCUGAGCAAUCAGUUUCCCUUGGGGCUGCCACCUGAUCGCAGGCCCACCACACAUGUUGUCCAACACUGGCGUUCGGACUCAAGAGAAACUUCCAAAAAAAUCGAAUAAAAACUAAAUUGCCAAUUAUAAAAAUUGUUUAAAAAGACCUUAGAUUAAAUUAAAACAAUGAGCUUAAAUGU
ensembl:ncRNA asRNA:CR45501 antisense RNA:CR45501